rnacentral:lncRNA from 1 species
GCCCCUGGCCGUGUUUGCCAACACUGCCACUGGAUCGAGACCCACAGGCCCGACCACUAAGUCCCACGGUCCUCUGGGACUUCCUCACCACACGACUGUGUCCUUGGUCACUGCCCCAGAGGACUGUUCCUCUUCCUUUCCACAGUCUGGGCCUUCGGGACAACAUUUCGGAACACCGUGGCCUUACGCGAGCCACCUGGGUACUCUCCUCGCCUUUCGCCUUUAGGUGCUCUAGCCAUGGGCUUAGAGCGGGUUCCGUUGAGCCACACCAGGUAUCCAAGUAGGUAGUGCCACCCACACUUGGACUGGGAGCAUCGGCCAGUCGAUCUCCCGGGGGAACUAGAGCCGGCUCUUGAACACUUCACCAAGCUACCCCGCUUGUCGGUCUGUGUUCACUCUAGUCUUGGACUUCCCAGUGGGCAGCUCAUCACCCAACACUGGGUCCGGCCUUCCUGGGCCAAACUGGCCUUUC